AGAGUUUGAUCAUGGCUCAGAACGAACGCUGGCGGCAGGCCUAACACAUGCAAGUCGAGCGCUGUAGCAAUACAGAGCGGCGCACGGGUGAGGAACACGUGGGAACGUGCCCAACGGUUUGGAAUAACUCAGGGAAACUUGAGCUAAUACCGGAUACGCCCCUUCGGGGGGAAAGAUUUAUCGCCGAUGGAGCGGCCCGCGUCCGAUUAGCUUGUUGGUGAGGUAAAAGCUCACCAAGGCGACGAUCGGUAGCUGGUUUGAGAGAACGAUCAGCCACACUGGGACUGAGACACGGCCCAGACUCCUACGGGAGGCAGCAGUGGGGAAUCUUGGACAAUGGGGGCAACCCUGAUCCAGCCAUGCCGCGUGAGUGAUGAAGGCCCUAGGGUUGUAAAACUCUUUCGGCGGGGACGAUAAUGACGGUACCCGCAGAAGAAGCUCCGGCUAACUUCGUGCCAGCAGCCGCGGUAAUACGAAGGGGGCUAGCGUUGUUCGGAAUUACUGGGCGUAAAGCGCGCGCAGGCGGUUUUCCAAGUCAGAGGUGAAAGCCCAGAGCUCAACUCUGGAACUGCCUUUGAAACUGGAAAACUAGGGUACGGGAGAGGUGAGUGGAAUUCCGAGUGUAGAGGUGAAAUUCGUAGAUAUUCGGAAGAACACCAGUGGCGAAGGCGGCUCACUGGCCCGUUACCGACGCUCNNNGCGAUAGCGUGGGGAGCAAACAGGANUAGAUACCCUGGUAGUCCACGCCGUAAACGAUGGAUGCUAGCCGUUGGUAAGCAUGCUUAUCAGUGGCGCANCUAANGCAUUAAGCAUCCCGNCUGGGGAGUANGGCCG
rnacentral:rRNA from 1 species